rnacentral:rRNA from 1 species
AGUGAUCCGGUGGUUCUGAAUGGAAGGGCCAUCGCUCAACGGAUAAAAGGUACUCCGGGGAUAACAGGCUGAUACCGCCCAAGAGUUCAUAUCGACGGCGGUGUUUGGCACCUCGAUGUCGGCUCAUCACAUCCUGGGGCUGAAGUAGGUCCCAAGGGUAUGGCUGUUCGCCAUUUAAAGUGGUACGCGAGCUGGGUUUAGAACGUCGUGAGACAGUUCGGUCCCUAUCUGCCGUGGGCGCUGGAGAAUUGAGGGGGGCUGCUCCUAGUACGAGAGGACCGGAGUGGACGCAUCACUGGUGUUCGGGUUGUCAUGCCAAUGGCAUUGCCCGGUAGCUAAAUGCGGAAGAGAUAAGUGCUGAAAGCAUCUAAGCACGAAACUUGCC